CCCUGCGCCUGCGGCCAAGCGAAAGCAUUAAGCAUCCCACCUGGGGAGUACGCCGGCAACGGUGAAACUCAAAGGAAUUGACGGGGGCCCGCACAAGCGGAGGAACAUGUGGUUUAAUUCGAUGAUACGCGAGGAACCUUACCCGGGCUUGAAUUGCAGGUGCUGCCCACAGAGACGUGGGCUUCCCUUCGGGGCGUCUGUGAAGGUGCUGCAUGGUUGUCGUCAGCUCGUGCCGUGAGGUGUCGGCUUAAGUGCCAUAACGAGCGCAACCCCCUUUCCCAGUUGCCAUCGGGUGAUGCCGGGCACUCUGGGGACACUGCCACCGCAAGGUGCGAGGAAGGUGGGGAUGACGUCAAAUCAGCACGGCCCUUACGUCCGGGGCUACACACGUGUUACAAUGGCCGGUACAGAGGGACGGUGCAAUGCAAGUUGCAUCCAAUCUUGAAAUCCGGUCCCAGUUCGGACUGGGGUCUGCAACCCGACCCCACGAAGCUGGAUUCGCUAGUAAUCGCGCAUCAGCCAUGGCGCGGUGAAUACGUUCCCGGGCCUUGUACACACCGCCCGUCAAGCCAUGAAAGCCGGGGGUGCCUGAAGUUCGUGACCGCGAGGAGCGACCUAG
rnacentral:rRNA from 1 species